rnacentral:rRNA from 1 species
GUCUUAUCAACAAACAUUUAAAAGCAAAAAACUUUCAACAACGGAUCUCUUGGUUCUGGCAUCGAUGAAGAACGCAGCGAAAUGCGAUAAGUAAUGCGAAUUGCAGAAUCCGUGAGUCAUCGAAUUUUUGAACGCAUAUUGCGCCCUUUGGCAUUCCGAAGGGCAUGCCUGUUCGAGCGUCAUUAUCACCUCUCAAGCCUGGCUUGUAGUUGGAUCUUAGCUCUGGCUUUGAUGCCCUUGCUGGUCCCAAAGAUAAUGACGGCGUCUGUGAAUGACCCCCAGUACACUGAGCUCUCGUAGCACGUACUUGGUUGGAGUUCCG